GGUGCAGGCUACGGUGGAGGUCCUGGCAAUGGCUAUGCAGGCCUGGGACAGGGUGGAUACCCCAAUGGAGGCCGAGGAGGCAAGCAAGCCGGUUAUGCUAAUGGAGGAUAUGCUGGAGCCGGCCUCGGUGAUGGUCUGGGCCUUGGU